UGAUGAAACUGGGUAUAUUCAGGAAUUAUAUAGCUGUAGAAGCAGUUUCUCAGCCAAAUCCAAUUGUCUAGUUUGACUAUUUUUACUAUUACUAGGUUUGGGACUUUAAAGAGGAACAUUUCUACUUGCUUCCUGAGAUUUCACAGAUUCCAGAAGAAAUUUCACAGGAGACAAAUUUUCUGACUGCCUGUGUGACUACAUCAGAACAUGUCAUCCCUGUAGAGUGGAAAUAAUCUUUUGUGGGGGUUUUGCUUUUUGCUCAAACUUCCUAAUUUGCAAACUCUUUAGAGAAGUGACUCAACUGAUUUUCCCAAUGCCUGGCACAGUUUGGUAAUGAGAUGAAAUAAUUCUAAUAACUUCCCUAACUGCAGUGCCCUUGUUGCCUCUGUUGUUGUCUCUUGGCUUUGCCUGCACAGAAAAUAUCUGUCAUUAUCCUGCUAGACAUAAAUAACAGCUUCUUUGGAAGACAGAGAUUGUAUUUUUUACUGGACCUAUCUACUCUUAUUUUCCAUAAGCAACAGCCACCCCACCCUGUGUGUGCAAUGAGGCCACUGAGUCACCAGCAUGAAGCAGUGUCCAGCUCAUACAUCUCACCAGGGAGGACCCAAAAUCCCCUCCAAAGAAGAGAAGAGACAUCUUUCUUCAGAUGAUAAUUAGAGGCUGAAAUGACCCUGAUGGUGACGCAGAGCUGUGGGUGCCACGCAUUGCUCAGACUCUGCAGGACCAGACCUACAGCUGCUGCACUAAAUUUCAAUGUCUUCUCUUCAGAUGAUGAUGAAAGGAAGGCUGCCCUGUCUGUGCAUCACCUAACAGGAAAGACCUCAGGACAAAGAGCUCAGACCCUCCAGAAAUCUUUCAGAGAGAAGCUCCAGCUCUCCCUUAUCUCUUUUAAAGUUAACACAUCACACUUUGUACAUGCUCAGCAACAAAGUUCCUAAUGUUGUUUCCCGAUAACCCAGAGGCCCGGGACAGCAAUGCUGUUGCUGUUUCAUAGAGGGCGAGAGCGGGACACUUGCUCCCCUGGCUGCCGACAAUCAGCACUUUGUGAACAUCCCACACUAGAGGUUUGCACAGAG
rnacentral:lncRNA from 1 species